GUGAAUCAUCGAAUCUUUGAACGCAAAUUGCACUCCCUGGUAUUCCGGGGAGUAUGCCUGUUUGAGGGUCAGUUUGAAUAAAAAUCGGUGUGGUUGCUGCCUUUCGUGGUGACGCACCGGAUUUGGGUCGUCUUGCCUUCGGUUAAGCGACCUAAAAUUGUGCAUUAUUUUUUUCGAACGUAUUUAAUUGAUUUUACUUACGUUUGCGAGAUAGAAUACUAGGUGUUGUCAUCC
rnacentral:misc_RNA from 1 species